rnacentral:rRNA from 1 species
CACGUAGGGUGCGAGCGUUGUCCGGAAUUAUUGGGCGUAAAGAGCUCGUAGGCGGUGUGUCGCGUCGGCCGUGAAAACUUGCAGCUUAACUGUGGGCGUGCGGUCGAUACGGGCAUCACUGGAGUUCGGCAGGGGAGACUGGAAUUCCUGGUGUAGCGGUGAAAUGCGUAGAUAUCGGGAGGAACACCAGUGGCGAAGGCGACUUCCUGGCCUGUUCUUGACGCUGAGGCGCGAAAGCUAGGGGAGCAAACGGG